CCUACGCGGGGCUGCAGUGGGGAAUAUUGGACAAUGGGGGGAACCCUGAUCCAGCCAUGCCGCGUGUGUGAAGAAGGCCCUCGGGUUGUAAAGCACUUUCAGUGAGGAAGAACGCCUGGUGGUUAAUACCCAUCAGGAAAGACAUCACUCACAGAAGAAGCACCGGCUAACUCCGUGCCAGCAGCCGCGGUAAUACGGAGGGUGCGAGCGUUAAUCGGAAUUACUGGGCGUAAAGCGCGCGUAGGUGGCUUGAUAAGCCGGUUGUGAAAGCCCCGGGCUCAACCUGGGAACGGCAUCCGGAACUGUCAAGCUAGAGUGCAGGAGAGGAAGGUAGAAUUCCCGGUGUAGCGGUGAAAUGCGUAGAGAUCGGGAGGAAUACCAGUGGCGAAGGCGGCCUUCUGGACUGACACUGACACUGAGGUGCGAAAGCGUGGGUAGCAAACAGGAUUAGAUACCCUUGUAGUC
rnacentral:rRNA from 1 species